GAUUCAUCAUUACAGGUGGGUUGUAAACAAAUCCAUUGCAGUGCUGGAUAGCUUCAGCUUGUGCCACCUUUUCUUUCAGAGAUAACAAUCUCCGCUCAGGGAGAUUAACCCUGGAUGUCUUGGAUGAGAGUUACAGAGGUGAACCUGAUCCCCAGGAGAGGUUAUCUGAUUGAGCUGCAGUCCAUCUGUGUGGACCACCAUGGCAGGCCUGGCCGAGAGCUUUCCAACCCGGAAACACUGUCAGUGUCAAAGGGCAACAGUCUUCCACCAUACAACCGCUGACCUAUGGGUGCGCUUGAUGGGCCCCUGUUCGAAGUGCUAUCCUGUGACUUGUUACCAUGGCAGGUCACUUGGUGAUUGAGGUGAUUGAGUUGAAUCCGGGGUCACUGACAUUGACUGGAAUCCUAGACUAAUAUUCCAGAUGGUGAUGACAGGAACUGGCUUACACUCUUCACCUUGCAGCAUCAUGUCCGUGGAUUUUUAGUGCCAUCUCGAAAUUGAGUGUAUAAUAAAAGAUGAAGUUACAUUGUAAAACUCUCUUGUGGCUAAUUUAUCUCUGUCCAUCAUGUUGUGG